rnacentral:lncRNA from 1 species
UGUAGAUGGUGCUGUUUACACACUUUUGUAAUGGGAAACACCUCCUAUGACCACCAGGGGGUGCUUGUUGCGCCGGAAUAAUUAGUUGCUACAUCUUGAAGGACCAGGAAAUGAAAGCCAGCAUAUUCCUUCCUCUGUACAGGCGCACACAGCUUCAUCUCCCGGGACUCCAAACAGCUAGGUUCCUAAGCGCGUAGGUUUAGUCCACGAGGCACUUCUUACAGCCUGUGCUUGGCUCUCCUGCAGCAGCCAGUGGGAAGCGCAAGAGAGCCUUCAUCCCUUCAUUCCCUGGUCCUCUGAGGAGAAGGAAGGAAUAUGUGGGGAUUUUGUGAAGGCUUUGGAGCCCUGACUCUGAUCCUGAGAGACUUACGCAGGUCAUCCAAGCUGCUCGGAUUCAGGAAGGCCACGGUCAAGCCCUUCCCGGAGGAAACAGCUACCCAACAGCACCUGAAGCAGGGGUGGGCAGGAAUGGUUGCAAGCGUUUCUCCACUUCAUUGAAGAAACACUGUCUUCUGGGACCUGCUGAGUUUCUGGAGGCCAGCCGCUUUCACCAGAGGCACCAAGUGGCAGAGCACACUUUGUACUUGGAGCCUUGCACCAGGGAGGAUGGAAUGCUCUCAUAGCUGAGAACUGGCUUCACCACCUUCCGUAGCAAUGUACAGUCUCAGAAGUGGGUCACAACCUUUCAGAAGAGCAAGGACUGGGACCAGUGACAGGGCUUUCAAUAGAAGCAGCAAGACAUGCUGCUCACUGCAUCCCUGGAAUACAAGGUGCUGGCCAGUUCCCAAGCACACCAGGGCCUCUCGGAGGCUCCGAUUACACCACGCAGCCUGUGUGGUCACCUGCUGCAGGAGCUCCAGUCUCAAACCCUCCUGCUUCUCCAGAGUUCCCAGUGCACCAAACACAACAGUGACACAGACAGAAACAGGAAGGGCAAUGCUGUUGGGGCCCUCACCUCUAAAGUUAUACAAAGUUUACAGAGUCAUUCCGAACUUGCCUGCUAUCAUCUUACACCUUACUCAAUGGAGUGCCUAUUUGUUGCCUACUACAUGUUAGGCACUACUCUACGUUCACAGACUAUCUUAGGAAAUUAGACAAGGACCUCCUCACCCUGGCAGCUUUUGUUACAGUGGAGCAGGGCAGGGAAACAUUUAGUUUCCUGUGGCUGUUGUGGACUCACAAUUCAACCUGCUCCACUUGGGUGGAAGCGUCACGUUUCCUCCAAUACGAGGUGUGGCAAGAGAGCCCUGACUGUCCUGAAGCCUCUCUUCGUGGGGCCUGACAUUCUACUGAGGAACUCUGUUCUGCUGUGAGCUGGGGUAGAGAAACAGCAGGACCACAGGUGAUCACUGCACAUGUUGGAAACUGAGUCAAGGAAGAGCGUGGAGGAGCGUGAUUAAGAUACCAGACAGGCUGGAGAGAUGGAUCAGUGGUUAAAAGCACUGGCUGCUCUUC